rnacentral:rRNA from 1 species
GAUGAACGCUGGCGGCGUGCCUAAUACAUGCAAGUCGAGCGAACAGACGAGAGUGCUUGCACUCUCUGACGUUAGCGGCGGACGGGUGAGUGACACGUGGGUAACCUACCUAUAAGACUGGGAUAACUUCGGGAAACCGGAGCUAAUACCGGAUAAUAUUUAGCUUCGCAUGAAGCAAUAGUGAAAGAAGGUUCUGCUGUCACUUAUAGAUGGACCCGCGGUGUAUUAGCUAGUUGGUGAGGUAACGGCUCACCAAGGCAACGAUACAUAGCCGACCUGAGAGGGUGAUCGGCCACACUGGGACUGAGACACGGCCCAGACUCCUACGGGAGGCAGCAGUAGGGAAUCUUCCGCAAAGGACGAAAGUCUGACGGGGCAAUGCCGCGUGAGUGAAGAAGGUUUUCGGAUCGUAAAACUCUGUUGUAAGGGAAGAACAAGUACUUUAGUAACUGAACGUACCUUGACGGUACCUUACCAGAAAGCCACGGCUAACUACGUG